rnacentral:rRNA from 1 species
GACGAACGCUGGCGGCGUGCUUAACACAUGCAAGUCGAACGGAAAGGCCCUGCUUUUGUGGGGUGCUCGCGUGGCGAACGGGUGAGUAACACGUGAGUAACCUGCCCUUGACUUUGGGAUAACUUCAGGAAACUGGGGCUAAUACCGGAUAGGAGCUCCUGCUGCAUGGUGGGGGUUGGAAAGUUUCGGCGGUUGGGGAUAGACUUGCGGCUUAUUAGCUUGUUGGUGGGGUAGUGGCUUACCAAGGCUUCGACGGGUAGUCGGCCUGGGAGGGGGACCAGCCACAUGAGGACUGAGGGACGGCCCAGACUCCUACGGGGGACAACGGUGGAGAAUAUUGCACAAUGGUCGGAAGCCUGAUGCAGCAGCGCCGCGUGCGGGAUGACGGCCUUCGGGUGGUAAACCGCUUUCGCCUGUGACGAAGCGUGAGUGACGGUAAUAGGUAAAGAAGCACCGGCUAACUACGUG